ACAAACUUGGUCAUUUAGAGGAAGUAAAAGUCGUAACAAGGUCUCCGUUGGUGAACCAGCGGAGGGAUCAUUAGCGAGUUUAAAAAGCUCCCAAAACCCUUUGUGAACUUACCACUGUUGCCUCGGCGCGAGCCGCGGCUACCCGGGAGUUACCCUGGAGUCGUUACCCUGUAGUUACCCUGUAGCUACCCUGUAGCGGUUACCCGGGAGCUACCCUGUAGUACGCACUACGGCCCGCCGGUGGACCACUAAAAUCUGUCCUUUCUGCUGAAUUAUCUGAAUAAACAAACUGAAAUACGUUAAAACUUUCAACAACGGAUCUCUUGGUUCUGGCAUCAAUGAAGAACGCAGC
rnacentral:misc_RNA from 1 species